rnacentral:lncRNA from 1 species
CCGGGGCGCCCCUGCUUGAAGCUGAGCUGUGGCCGUCGCUGGCCCGGCUUACCCUGUCACCAGAAGGUCUCCUUUCCCCAUACAGCUGGCCGGAUACAGAGGUCAACCUCCAUAGCUGCCCAGAAAUUCAUCUGAGUUUCCUAAUAGGAGUUUUGACAUUAGAAUUCUUUCGGUACCUCUGGGACACUUUCGUGCCCUCAGCUGCAUCCCCAAUCCCACAAUCUUUCAAUCUGGAUCCUGCCCUCACCCAGCAAGUUUACAGUGUGUUCCCUCUGUCCCUUCCCCUCCCCACUUCCUCUUCUCACCCUCUCCAAUCCUG